rnacentral:rRNA from 1 species
GGCCCGCACAAGCGGAGGAGCAUGUGGUUUAAUUCGAUGAUACGCGAGGAACCUUACCCGGGCUCGAACGUAUGAUGAAUAAUAUGGAAACAUGUUAGUCGAAAGACAUUAUACGAGGUGCUGCAUGGUUGUCGUCAGCUCGUGCCGUGAGGUGUCAGGUUAAGUCCUAUAACGAGCGCAACCCUUACUGUUAGUUGCCAGCAUGUAAUGAUGGGGACUCUAGCGGAACUGCCUACGCAAGUAGAGAGGAAGGUGGGGAUGACGUCAAAUCAGCACGGCCCUUAUGUCCGGGGCGACACACGUGCUACAAUGGUCGAUACAGAGGGCAGCUACCUGGUGACAGGAUGCCAAUCUCAAAAAUCGAUCUCAGUUCGGAUCGGAGUCUGUAACUCGACUCCGUGAAGUUGGAUUCGCUAGUAAUCGCACAUCAGCCAUGGUGCGGUGAAUACG